rnacentral:rRNA from 1 species
AUUAAACGCUGGCGGCAGGCUUAACACAUGCAAGUCGAGCGAGCGGCGGACGGGUGAGUAAUGUCUGGGAAACUGCCUGAUGGAGGGGGAUAACUACUGGAAACGGUAGCUAAUACCGCAUACCAUCCAAUGUGCCCAGAUGGGAUUAGCUAGUAGGUGGGGGAAUGGCUCACCUAGGCGACGAUCCCUAGCUGGUCCGAGAGGAUGACCAGUUCCACGGCAACUGCGACACGGUCUAGACUCCUACGAGUGGGAUCAGGGGUGAAUAUUGCACAAUGGUCGUCAGCUUGACGAAGCCACGGCGUGCGUUUGAAGAAGGCCUGCGGGUGGUCAAGCAGUUUAAGCGAGGAGGCGUUAUUCGUAGAAGAAGCACCGGCUCACUCCGUGCCAGCAGCCGCGGUAAUAC